GCCGCCAUAAUGACACGUUGUUAUAUACCGCUGUUUUCCUACAGGCCCACAGAUCUCAUCGAGGGAAUCUGUCCCAUCGCGGACGGCCCUGGCGUUUCUCACAGGGGUUGACAGCUUCUAACAAGACAUAAAACAGAUGAUGAACCACCGCUUGAGCACUACGUAUACUGACCGUAUGGCUUGCGACUACGUGAUGAUUCAUAGCAGGUAUUAGGAAAUCAGCAGAAACAAAUUACAGGCCGGACUCAGUACAGCACAGGCUGCCUAUCUCCUUGCCAAUCUCGCAGCAGAUUGGUCAGGGGCAGUGGCUGUACUUGCCACCAACAACAGAACUGUCAACCUCCAGGACAGGGAGGGCCACGGCAAGGCAGUCGACAUGCUCGUGGAGCAUUACAACAAGAUACUCAAGAAUGUCCUAAAAAGGUCAGGUGGCCAUCUCACCUACAAGCACGCAAAAGAAGUGUCACUAGCCGUUCCGCUGUUGGACGAGGCUCGUCGGUUCUGCAGCAAGCUGUUCGGGACACAACAGACAGUGGGACACACGUCACCGGAUAUCACCACCAUGAUAGGACGGCUGUUAGAUGGUAAAGUUUACUGUGUUAGCCCAGGACGGCGUCUUGAAUCGGGACUAACGUUUGAGGAUACUGUGUCAAAGGGGUUCGGUAAAGUAACUGAGGGCAAGUGGUUAGAGCAGUUUCUACAGAAGGGCAACAUCGCUGAAACAGACACAGAGCCUGAAGACACAGACGACGAUGAUGUUGCUGAAACUGAUGCUCUGAUAGUUGAAUGAAGUGCUAAAGGGCAACAUUUUAUCAAUGAUUGUUAUUGGUGAUAUCCCGCAGAACAGAUGCUGAUCUCGUAUUACGUUUUUCUGGGAUAAGACUGACAAUUGUUGUAAGGAUGAUUUGUAGAUGGUUCUGUGAAAAAUGUGUUAACCAUAUUACUGAUCUAAGUUUCGACUGACGACAGAUCUUCGGUGGCCGGUUGGAUACUGUCGGCCGGCUGGAUACUGUCCGCUAUACUAUGAGAGACAAACGUGGUGUGUGGAGAGGCGAGUGCCGCUCAUGUAACGAAUGCGUUUGACGCAGUGGUGGGAAGGACAGCAUGCGCUAGCUAUCGGAACCAAUCAUGCCGGCUCUUACAUCGGCUGUUCAGUGACAAAUAAAAACAAACAUGGCGUCGUCUUGGGAAGAGAAUUUUUGCGAGUUCUUUGUAUUGAAGAGCCUGCAUGACCAUCAAAAGUCCACUCUGGAGUUUUUGAUGAGUGGAAAGGACGUGUUCCUAAGUGUGCGAACGGGCGGGGGGAAAAGCCUAUGUUUCAUGGGCUUUCCAGUCGCAGCAAGACUCGCAAGAACCAGGAAAGAGUCGCGCGCUAGCAGCUGUGCAACUGCAAAAGCAGAGGCGAUCCACUUCCCCCUACGAAGAGAAAGUGGCGGAACCUAGAGCGGCGUAUCCGCAGGCUAAAGAGAGAGUACAAUAGAUAGGUGAAAGAUCCCUGAGGCGGUAUUGGAACGCCGUACUCUACUGUAUAAAACCGUAUGUGUAAUAUGUUAAGGGACCUUGUUCGAGACCCACCAUAGUGUUGAUUUCAAACUUAUGUUUUACCUUACAUAAUUUGUUGUUUUGUACAAGAGAUCCUUCGGGAGUGUUAAGGUAAACCCGCCAAAGUGUUGAUUUCAAACUUAUGUUUUAUCUCACAUAAUAUGUUGUUUUGUACAAGAGAUCCUUCGGGAGUGUUAAGGUAAACCCGCCAAAGU